CCAGGGUGCAUUGCUGGAAGAGGUGCAGUUGCGACUUGACCUCGAGGAGCAACACAUUGCACGCGGUGUGGUGGCCUUUCUGAGCUUUUUAAAGAGUUUGCUGGAUUUUUGAAGCUUUUCCAAAACUUCUUUUGCAGCUGUUUGGUAAGUUAAACUUUUAAAACUUUUUUGGGUUUUUUGGAUUUUGGGUUGGGGUGUUUAGAAUUCAAGGACUUGGUGUUGGGGAGGGGUUUGCAAGAAUCUGGGAGCUUGUGUGGUUUUUUUCUGCAUUUUUAUGAUUUUCUGUGACCAUUGGGCCAUGUUUUUUUUUUUAAAAAAAAAUCUGGCUUUGAAUUUUUGAAUUUCUGUGUGCUGGGUGGAUGGGGGAACAGCUGGGGAGGGGUUUGCAAGAAUCUGGGAGCUUGUUUGUUUUUUCUGCAUUUUUAUGAUUUUCUGUGACCAUUGGGCCAUGUUUAUUUUUUUAAAAAAAAUCUGGGUUUUGAAUUUCUGAAUUUCUGUGUGCUGGGUGGAUGGGGAACAGCUGGGGAGGGGUUUGCAAGAAUCUGGGAGCUUGUGUGGUUUUUUUUGAAUUUUUAUGGUUUUCUGUGACCAUUGGGCCAUGUUGUUUUUUUUUGAAAAAAAUUUCUGGGUUUUGAAUUUCUGUGUGCUGGGUGGCUGGGGGAACAGCUGGGGAGGGGUUUGCAAGAAUCUGGUAGCUUGUGUGGGGUUUCUUUUGCAUUUUUAUGGUUUUCUGUGACCAUUGGGCCAUGUUGUUGUUUUUUGAAAAAAAUUUCUGGGUUUUGAAUUUUUGAAUUUCUGUGUGCUGGGUGGCUGGGGGAACAGUUGAGGAGGGGUUUGCAACAGUUGGGGAGGGGUUUGCAACAGUUGGGGAGGGGCUGGGGGAACAGUUGAGGUUUUUGAAGACUUUGGUGAUUUUUAAAGCUUUCCCAAAACUUCUUUGCAGCCAUUUGAGGAUUUUGAAGACUUUGGUGAUUUGCAGCCAUUUCGUAAGUUAAACUUUUAAAACUUUUUGGGGG